rnacentral:rRNA from 1 species
ACCUACGGGACGCAGCAGUGGGGAAUAUUGCACAAUGGGGGAAACCCUGAUGCAGCGACGCCGCGUGAGCGAUGAAGUAUUUCGGUAUGUAAAGCUCUAUCAGCAGGGAAGAAAAUGACGGUACCUGAUUAAGAAGCCCCGGCUAACUACGUGCCAGCAGCCGCGGUAAUACGUAGGGGGCAAGCGUUAUCCAGAUUUACUGGGUGUAAAGGGAGCGCAGACGGCAGUGCAAGUCUGGAGUGAAAGCCCGGGGCCCAACCCCGGAACUGCUCUGGAAACUGUGCGGCUAGAGUACUGGAGGGGCG